rnacentral:misc_RNA from 1 species
UCUCCGUUGGUGAACCAGCGGAGGGAUCAUUACCGAGUUUACAACUCCCAGACCCCUGUGAACAUACCUGUUUUGUUGCUUCGGCGGUGCCCUCGCUCUCGCGGCGAGGCCCGCCAGAGGACCCAAACAAACUCUUUGACUUUGAUCUAGGAUUAUACUUCUGAGUGAUACAAAAAAUAAAAUCAAAACUUUCAACAACGGAUCUCUUGGUUCUG